UUUUACACAGCAAAAUCACCAGUGUUAAAUUUUCAGGGAUGGUGUUAAAUACACAGUGUUGAUGCUGUUUUAACACUAUCUGGUAAUAAAAUAACACUGCCAUUGCUAGGCCAGUGUUAUAUUCACGACAGUGUCAGUGUAAAACAAGGGUGUUAUCAGAUUUCACUCUGAGCGGUGUAAAUCAAGCCACGCCUCCACUAAACAUAUCCUGUCAGGGAUUUUACCGCCAUUUUCUUUCACAGGAGGACUGAAGAGAUCAGGUAAAUCAGUCUCAUAAUAUUCACAUGGUUUAGCUAAAUUAAACUGUUAUUUCUCUGUCUGACUCUACGCAGCCAUAUGCCAAAAAACCUAAAUAAGAUAUUUUUCCCAUUUUAUUUCCCCUUUGUUCGUUAUUUGGUUCAGUUUAAUCAGAGCUACCUUGUGUUACGUUGUUCCCUUGUUAGUUUAGUAUAAAGUUAAACUGCUAGCUAAAAGUUUAAAACCAAGAAGGAUAAUUUUAACAGGAGAUAUGAACGAAAGAAUUGAACCAUGAUAAAACGCGACAUGCACUACAAAUUGAAGGUAUGAAAUUAAGUUAAAUGAAAGCUCGUUUAUUCACCAUAUGAUGCUCGUUAUGAGGUAAUCAUAUAGGCUAGAUACCGUGAGUUAACGAGGUCGUUUACAUGCACGUGAGUGCACGGAUAUCGGUUAAUUAUUCAAAUUACUGAAAAACACGGAGAAAACCGCAACCGCAUCGUCAUGUGUUUUUCUAAGAUGUAUGCAAACAGGGGAAAUAUCGCCAAACCAACAAUUAAUUUGACCAAAACCUCACUAUAUAUCAUCAUUUGUAUGCACAGAUUGGAUGCAUUGUGUGUUAUGCUAGUUUGGUGAAAGCUCACACUCAGUGCUUCAAAUCAUUCAGAAGAGAUGCUGUUUUUAGGGCAGUUUAUUAAAGAAGACCUGACAUGGAUGACUUCCAAUGAGAAACGACUGCUAAUACUUAUAUAAAUACAUUACAGAAGGACCCUACCAGACUAUAUUUGAAUACGGCAUACCCAUGAAUUCUGGAACUGUUAUUCCUUAACCCAGUUUGGAGGAUAAGAGCUUACCAACUAGUUAUGUGAGUACACACAGUACAUUUGUACUGUACACUGUCUCUAACAUGAUUUAUUAUACUGAGAUGCUUUUGAUUCAAAUAACGGUUAAAACUGCACCCUUUUUGGUAUUUUCUUGACUCUUUUUGUCUUAGAAAAUCUGCAGAAAUAUGCUGAGGCGAUGUAUUGCAGAAUAGCCAACAUACAACAAUAUGGAUGACCCUCUGUCUGGUCAACAGGAGUUUAAAUAUGGACGGGACAGUGAUGUGGCAGCUCUUCCCUGGCUCAUUCACCUCUUGCCUUUCAUUUGUGAAAGGAAGAAAGAAGAAAGAGGGUCAAUGUGCAACUGAAGCUACUGAUUGUGCUGUGUGAUGAGCAUCAAUCCAUGCUUUGAGGUGGAUGAAUCAGCACAGCCCUGCCUGCACUGCGUUGGGAACAGAAGUUGCAUCCAGAAUUUUUGCAUCAUUCUGGACCAAAAAGCCAUUCCCUCCAUGAUGAAGACCACUGAUGCAGCCUUCCACUACAUCAUGAGUAAAACAACUACAGAACUAAAUACCAGGUUGGAACGUAUUUAAGAAAAAUGAAACGUCUUUUGAAUUGAAAUGUCUGUUUUGUUAUGGAUAAAUCUUUAGUAUUGUGAAGGAUAAGCAUUUCUGCCUGCCAGUAAGGUAAUUACAGUGUAUUUUAAUGUUCAAGUUUUGAGUAGGGUGGCUAAUUUUUUUUAAACUCUCAUUUGAUAUAUUAAAGACCUUAUAAUAAGUGGUUUUCAUGUCACUGCGCUGUGGUAUAAGAUAACUUUCAUUAUUCCAUACUCUAUUCUGUAUUCUAAUUGUAGCUGAGGUAUUUAAAUAAGCAGUAUUAAAUGCAAAGUGUUGUGUGUAUCAAUGUAAAUAUUAAAUGUGAUGUACUUUAAUAAAAAGAGGUUUUGCAAUAUUUCUUGUCAUUUGUCUUUUAUAGAAACAACCCAUUAGCAACAAAAGUGGCUAUUAAUCAGUAUUUUAACACUUAACAUUGUUGAAUUGACAUUACACUGGUGUUGACCUUAAAUUAGGAGUGUUAAUUUUUAACACUGUAUUUCUGUGCCAACACCAGUGUAGUGUGGAAACAACAAUGAAUAGUGUGAACAAAGUGUAAAAUUUAACAAUAUUGAGUGUUAAAUUAACAUAUAAUGGGUGUUGUUAAAUUAACACUACACUUUUGACUAAAUUAACACAGUGUAGUGUGGACACAUAUACACACUUUUCCAGUGUUAAAUUUGACACCCUGGGUGUUAUUUUAACACCAGUGAUUUUGCU